rnacentral:rRNA from 1 species
UACGGAGGGGGCUAGCGUUGUUCGGAAUUACUGGGCGUAAAGCGCACGUAGGCGGACCAGUCAGUUAGGGGUGAAAGCCCAGGGCUCAACCCUGGAACUGCCCUUAAUACUGCUGGUCUAGAGGUCGAGAGAGGUGAGUGGAAUUCCGAGUGUAGAGGUGAAAUUCGUAGAUAUUCGGAGGAACACCAGUGGCGAAGGCGGCUCACUGGCUCGAUUCUGACGCUGAGGUGCGAAAGCGUGGGGAGCAAACAGG